rnacentral:rRNA from 1 species
AUACGGAGGAUGCGAGCGUUAUCCGGAUUUAUUGGGUUUAAAGGGUGCGUAGGCGGUCGGGUAAGUGUAGGGUGAAAGUCCUCUGCUCAACAGGGGAAGUGCCUUCCGAACUGUCCGACUUGAAUUCUCCUGCCGUGGGAGGAAUGUGUGGUGUAGCGGUGAAAUGCAUAGAGAUCACACAGAACACCGAUUGCGAAGGCAGCUCACGAAGGGGCGAUUGACGCUGAGGCACGAAAGCGUGGGGAUCAAACAGGAUUAGAUACCCUGGUAGUCCACGCAGUAAACGAUGAUGACUAACCGUCGGUCCUGUCGGAUCGGUGGCCAAGCGAAAGCGAUAAGUCAUCCACCUGGGGAGUACGACCGCAAGGUUGAAACUCAAAUGAAUUGACGGGG